ACAGCUACGGACACAGCAGCUAGGUAACACACACACACCCUGUCUCUACUGGUCACCUGUCUACAGCUACGGACACAGCAGCUAGGUAACACACACACACACACCCUGUCUCUACUGGUCACCUGCCUACAGCUACGGACACAGCAGCUAGGUAACACACACACUGUCACUACUGGUCACCUGUCUACAGCUACGAACACAGCAGCUAGGUAACACACACACACACACACCCUGUCUCUACUGGUCACCUGCCUACAGCUACGGACACAGCAGCUAGGUAACACACACACACACACACCCUGUCUCUACUGGUCAGCUGUCUACAGCUACGGACACAGCAGCUAGGUAACACACACACACCCUGUCUCUACUGGUCACCUGUCUACAGCUACGGACACAGCAGCUAGGUAACACACACACACACACCCUGUCUCUACUGGUCACCUGCCUACAGCUACGGACACAGCAGCUAGGUAACACACACACUGUCACUACUGGUCACCUGUCUACAGCUACGAACACAGCAGCUAGGUAACACACACACACACACACCCUGUCUCUACUGGUCACCUGCCUACAGCUACGGACACAGCAGCUAGGUAACACACACACACACACACCCUGUCUCUACUGGUCAGCUGUCUACAGCUACGGACACAGCAGCUAGGUAACACACACACACACACCCUGUCUCUACUGGUCACCUGCCUACAGCUACGGACACAGCAGCUAGGUAACACACACACACACACACCCUGUCUCUACUGGUCACCUGUCUACAGCUACGAACACAGCAGCUAGGUAACACACACACACACACACCCUGUCUCUACUGGUCACCUGCCUACAGCUACGGACACAGCAGCUAGGUAACACACACACACACACACCCUGUCUCUACUGGUCACCUGCCUACAGCUACGGACACAGCAGCUAGGUAACACACACACACACACACCCUGUCUCUACUGGUCACCUGCCUACAGCUACGGACACAGCAGCUAGGUAAC